rnacentral:lncRNA from 12 species
CGGGGCGGGGCGGGGCGCGCCGGGGGCAGCGACGCGGGCGCCGUCCCGUGAGGCGCGGAAGGGCGGGCUGUGGAGGCGGCGCGGCCCUCGGCCUCGGGAGGCUGGACGGCGGCCGCGGACUCGAGGCCUGUGGGGAGGCCGCCUCUCUUUGUUUUAAGGUGAAAUACAGACUUCUUUUUUAUUUAUUUAUUUAUUUUUUUAAUUUUUUUUUUCUUUUUUUUUCUGAAACACAGACUUCUAUGCUGACUCCGCGUGCAGCAAAAAAUAAAGCCUCCUCCGAGAUGGUCGGUGCAGUUUCCUCACUUCUAAAUUUGGUAAUUCCGCUGUACUUGGGAUUUUGACAAGUUUUCCACCUGCUAAGAAAGGGUGUUCUGAAGCCAGUGUAUUCCUAAAUCGAAAGCUAAAGGAAAAGGAAAUGCAAGAGACAAAUGAGAUCCUUGUCACAAGAAACAAAGGACACAGAAAAAAGCCAUGCAAGGAAAAGGAAAUGGACAAGAAGAUAAAAAGCAUUGUUAUGGAGGACCCCUGGGUGGCUCAGCGGUUUGGCAUGCCUUUGACCCAGGGUGCGAUCCUGGAAUCCCGGGAUCGGGAUCGAGUCCCACGUUCGGCUCCUGGUAUGGAGCCUGCUUCUCCCUCCUCCUGUGUCUCUGCCUCUCUCUCUUUCUAUGUCUAUCAUGAAUAA